rnacentral:tRNA from 1 species
GCCCUCCUGGCGGAAUUGGUAGACGCAACGGACUUAAAAUCCGUUGUCCUAACGGGCGUGCCGGUUCGAGUCCGGCGGAGGGCACCA